GCGUGGAAACAAAAAUCUAGCCGUUAGAGACAAAAAUAGAGCCGUUGGAGUCAAGAAAAAACUAGCCGUUAUGCCUCCCAGCGUGCUAGAGUCACUCGGCUGAAGCAGGAGUCGACUCGGCUGAAGCAGGAGUCGACUCGGCUGAAAUAGGAGUCGACUCGUGAAUAGUAGUCUGCCGGCACUGUAGCUGGGAGUCGACUUCGCACUGUAGCGCUGAAGUUGGAGUCGACUCGAGCACUGUAGCGCUGAAAAACAACUCUCUGUCUUUUUGCCUGUUCUUAGUCGGAGUCGACUCGUAGAGUCCCGGAGUCGACUCGAGCACUGUUCCUUGAAACUCCAGAGUGCCAGAGUCGACUCUAAACUUUCAGGAGUCGACUCGAGGACUAUUCUUUUGAAUCUUUCUUUAAAUUUGCUCCUCCAACUUGAAUUCUUUGAACUUGAAACUUGGGCCAAUGAAGUGUAGGUUUCUUCCAACUUUU
rnacentral:lncRNA from 1 species